GUUCUCGUAGGAUCACCGAAGUUAAGCAACGCGGAGCCUGGUCAGUACCUAAAUGGGUGAUCGCUUGGGAAUAUCGUGUGCUGUAAG